UCCCCUUUUCUCUAAGAAAACAAAAGCUUAGCGCGAGGCGGAGAUGACGGCAGCGCCUCCACGCGUAGGAGCGCCUGCGCCUAGGGUUUGGGCGAAGGGCAUGGCGGCUGCGCGGCCAGUGUGGCAAUCAGAUCGGCGCCAAGUUCUCAGAGUGAUCUGUGGUCCUGCGCCACUGACCCCGACCUCUUCCUCCUCUUCGUCGGUCCCCCGCCUCACCAUCCGCCUCGGCCUGCCAGGCUCCGAGUCCUCCGACUGCAACCGGGACUACUGCGAGGACGUAUAGCGGCCGCGCUCUCCCUUGGCUUGCUGCCGGCUGCCGCAUCCGCUAGCGUCUAGAUCUCGCCUAGCACUGACAAGGUUCAGCGGUAGGGACAAAGUGGAUCUUGAAUGCAAAUCGAGAUUCUUUGAAGACGGGGGCAAAUUUUGAGUUCUGUGAUCUGCUCGUGGAGAAAUUACCCAUCCAUAUUUGCAUCAUCCAUCAACUUAGAGGAAAUUGGUGCAUCGAUCUGAACAGCUCAGAGCUCUUCUUCAAUAGACUUUACCACCCAAUCAUCAGUAACAAGAGGCUCCCUACUGGACAUCAAACAUAUUAUUGUAACUUUGAUUAAUUUUGUAGUCAACGUAGAUAGUGUUUCUUAAUUAGCAUAAAUCUAUAUUCAUUCAUGUAACUCAAGGACAUCAAGCACACUAUUCUGGCAUGUUGGCAGUUGAUCCACGGGGAACGAUGUGGCCUCCCGACAUGCAUGAACGGCAGCCUUGGUGUUGAAUGAGCUACAAAGUCAUAAAUUUAGGACUUUGAAACUCUACACCUAAAUUCAUAAAUUUUAUAGUAGCUCACUUCAAACUUUGUACA